rnacentral:lncRNA from 1 species
AAAAGGUCAUUUAUUCAGAAUAUCAUAAAGCAUUAUAUAACUGACAGUGAUGGACAAUUAUGUCAUCAAACAAAACUGAAUAAAUGACAACAAUUGCAAAGGUGGGGAAUAAAUACCGCCAUGAUCCCCAAGUCCCUGAGUUGGGGAGACCGCCACCCGAGACAUCCUUGGAGACUACUUUUUAUGACAAAAGGAAAAAUUCAGAAAAAUAACAUAUCUUUCAACUCAAAACAUUAGUGUAAAUAAAAAAAAAAAAUUAGGCAGAGCAAGCCCUGUUGACCUCUACCGUAACUGUUUGGCCAGUAGAAAUGCCAAUGUAAAGCAAACCCUUUUGACCUUUACAUUCC